ACCAGAGUGGCAUAGUGGUUUUAGCAUUGGACUAUGACUCUAGAGACCAGGGUUCAAGUCCACUCGGCCAUGAAA